AGCCCUAAUGCCUUUAUGCUAUGAGUAUUAGAGCCACUGAUGGGAAAAAAAAUAGAAUUCUGAGAAAAUAAGUCAUAAAUCUGAGUUUAAUCUCAGAGUUCUGACUGGUACCUAAAACAAAAAAAAAAGGGAAAUUGGGGAAGAUUAUGAGGGGGGAUCAGAAUUCUGACUUAAAUCUUAAAAUUCAGGCUUUUUUUUUUGUUUGUUUGUUUUGAUUUUUUUUUAACAAAAAAAAUUCCUAAAUAGUUUUUUGUUUGUUUGGUUUUAGGUUCAUGAAAAAAGUCAGAAUUCUAACUUUAAUCCCAGAAUUUUGAAAUUAUCUGACUUUUUUUCUCAAUUCUUUUCUUUUUCUUCAGUGACUCUAAUACUCUUAGGCAAUAAGGCAGUAUUAGGGCCACUGAAGGAAACAAUUGAAUACUGAGAUAAAUGUCAGAAUUCUACUUUAUUUAUUUUAUUUAUUUUCAGAAUUUUUUCUUCUUCAGUGGCUUUAAUACCCCUCCGUAUUAUGUAAUGUUAAACACUUCAAAUUAACUUUUGAAUUCAGCAGUUUAUCAUUGGAUUUAGAUGCAGAUAUCACUGUCUUGGAAAAUUGGUCAGAGCAGUUUGGCAUUAAGUUUGAUUAGUAAACUUGACAGUAUUUACACUCUUAAUCUUCUUAGGAAUUACAUGAUGUCCACACAAGGCGUACUUCCUUCCUGUCACCCUUCCUGUCUAUCUACGUGAGGAAACCUCUGGAUUUUUGAGGACAUGUGUGGGCAUGCUCAGUUGAAGUUUCCAUCUCUGCGCGUUCAAGAUGUAAGAAAAAUAACACGAAAGAAAUGCAACAAUGAAAACUUCAAAAAGGCAUCAACAACCAAGCAAGUGGAUCCAUAAAAUGGACUGAUUUUUUUAAAGGCAUUUUUAAAAAGUCUUUCAAAAUGGACAGAAUUAACGCGUCAUGUUCAGAACAGUUUGCGUUCUCAUCUUUGAUUAAUCCUGGUAAACAGGUCUGUUUUUGUUCUGUUCUAAUUCUCUCUGUUUAAUAAAUUUAAACAAAAUGA